UUUCAAUUGACAAAUAGAGCAGUCCAAGGAACGCGGUUUAAAUCCGCGGCUGUGCCGCAACUGUGAUUUCCGACUAGUUUUGGAAUAAGCCAGGUCUAUGGACUCGCUUGUAAUACUUCUCUUCGAGCAGAGAGACAUUUAAGAAAUUU
rnacentral:sRNA from 2 species